rnacentral:rRNA from 1 species
AUUGAACGCUGGCGGCAGGCCUAACACAUGCAAGUCGAACGGGUGGCGGACGGGUGAGUAAUGUCUGGGAAACUGCCCGAUGGAGGGGGAUAACUACUGGAAACGGUAGCUAAUACCCCAUAUCAUCGGCUGUGCCCAUAUGGGAUUAGCUAGUAGGUGGGGUAACGGCUCACCUAGGCGACGACCCCUAGCUGGUCUGAGAGGAUGACCAGCCACACUGGAACUGAGACACGGUCCAGACUCCUACGGGAGGCAGCAGUGGGGAAUAUUGCACAAUGGGCGCAAGCCUGAUGCAGCCAUGCCGCGUGUAUGAAGAAGGCCUUCGGGUUGUAAAGUACUGUCAGCGAGGAGGCGUUACUCGCAGAAGAAGCACCGGCUAACUCCGUGCCAGCAGCCGCGGUAAGUC